AAUUCUCAAACCUUUUUGGCUUUAUUGGUCGAAAAGGCUUUGGAUGUGGGAGUUGCUGGAACUAGCCUUUCAGCUCUUCUUAAAUGUAUUAGCGGGUUACUGAUCUCCGCUACUUGGUGUUGAUAGUCUAUCUUACGCCUUGUAGUUGAAUCAACUUAUGUAGCUGCUUCUAAUCGUCGACUUGGUUGACAAAUUUAUUGACU
rnacentral:misc_RNA from 1 species